rnacentral:rRNA from 1 species
AUUGCACGCUGGCGGCAGGCCUAACAAAUGCAAGUCGAGCGAGCGGCGGUCGGGUGAGUAAUGUAUGGGGACUCCCCGACAGUCGGGGAUAACUACUGGAAACGGAGGCUAAUACCGCCGACUGUCGGAUAACCCAUAUGGGAUUAGCUAUGAGGUAAGGUACUGGCUUACCUAGGCGACGAUUCCUAGCUGGUCUGAGAGGAUGAUCAGCCACACUGGGACUGAGACACGGCCCAGACUCCUACGGAGGCAGCAGUGGGGAAUAUUGCACAAUGGGCGCAAUCCUGAUGCAGCCAUGCCGCGUGGAUGAAGAAGGCCCUAGGGUUGUAAAGUACUUUCAGUCGGGAGGCGUUACCGACAGAAGAAGCACCGGCUAACUCCGUGCCAGCAGCCGCGGUAAUUC